GGGUUGUGAGGUUAAGCGACUAAGCGUACACGGUGGAUGCCCUGGCAGUCAGAGGCGAUGAAGGGCGUGCUAAUCUGCGAUAAGCGCCGGUAAGGUGAUAUGAACCGUUAUAACCGGCGAUACCCGAAUGGGGAAACCCAGUGUGACUCGUCACACUAUCAUUAACUGAAUCCAUAGGUUAAUGAGGCGAACCGGGGGAACUGAAACAUCUAAGUACCCCGAGGAAAAGAAAUCAACCGAGAUUCCCCCAGUAGCGGCGAGCGAACGGGGAGGAGCCCAGAGCCUGAAUCAGCAUGUGUGUUAGUGGAAGCGUCUGGAAAGGCGCGCGAUACAGGGUGACAGCCCCGUACACAAAAGCGCAUGUGCUGUGAGCUCGAUGAGUAGGGCGGGACACGUGGUAUCCUGUCUGAAUAUGGGGGGACCAUCCUCCAAGGCUAAAUACUCCUGACUGACCGAUAGUGAACCAGUACCGUGAGGGAAAGGCGAAAAGAACCCCGGCGAGGGGAGUGAAAAAGAACCUGAAACCGUGUACGUACAAGCAGUGGGAGCACCCUUUUGGGUGUGACUGCGUACCUUUUGUAUAAUGGGUCAGCGACUUAUAUUCUGUAGCAAGGUUAACCGUAUAGGGGAGCCGCAGGGAAACCGAGUCUUAACCGGGCGUUAAGUUGCAGGGUAUAGACCCGAAACCCGGUGAUCUAGCCAUGGGCAGGUUGAAGGUUGGGUAACACUAACUGGAGGACCGAACCGACUAAUGUUGAAAAAUUAGCGGAUGACCUGUGGCU
rnacentral:rRNA from 1 species